rnacentral:rRNA from 1 species
UACGUAGGGUGCAAGCGUUAAUCGGAAUUACUGGGCGUAAAGCGUGCGCAGGCGGUGAUGUAAGACAGGUGUGAAAUCUCCGGGCUUAACCUGGGAACUGCAUUUGUGACUGCAUCGCUGGAGUGCGGCAGAGGGGGAUGGAAUUCCGCGUGUAGCAGUGAAAUGCGUAGAUAUGCGGAGGAACACCGAUGGCGAAGGCAAUCCCCUGGGCCUGCACUGACGCUCAUGCACGAAAGCGUGGGGAGCAAACAGG